rnacentral:rRNA from 1 species
AAUGAACGCUGGCGGCGUACUUAACACAUGCAAGUCGCACGAGAAAGCCUUGGCUUGCCAGGGCGAGUAAAGUGGCGCACGGGUGAGUAACGCGUGGGUAAUCUACCCUUGAAUUCGGGAUAACACUUCGAAAGGGGUGCUAAUACCGGAUAACAUCAUAAAUUCUUCGGGAUUUAAUGAUCAAAGGUGGCCUCUACAAGUAAGCUACUGUUUGGGGAUGAGCCCGCGUACCAUUAGCUAGUUGGUAGGGUAAGGCCUACCAAGGCAACGAUGGUUAGCUGGUCUGGGAGGAUGAUCAGCCACACUGGAACUGACACACGGUCCAGACUCCUACGGGAGGCAGCAGUGAGGAAUUUUGCGCAAUGGGGGGAAACCCUGACGCAGCAACGCCGCGUGAGUGAUGAAGGCCUUCGGGUCGUAAAC